rnacentral:rRNA from 1 species
ACUCCUACGGGAGGCAGCAGUGGGGAAUAUUGCACAAUGGGCGCAAGCCUGAUGCAGCCAUGCCGCGUGUGUGAAGAAGGCCUUCGGGUUGUAAAGCACUUUCAGUAGGGAGGAAGGUAUGGUAAGUUAACACCUGCACUAUUUGACGUUACCUACAGAAGAAGCACCGGCUAACUCCGUGCCAGCAGCCGCGGUAAUACGGAGGGUGCGAGCGUUAAUCGGAAUUACUGGGCGUAAAGCGCAUGCAGGCGGCCUGUUAAGUCAGAUGUGAAAGCCCGGGGCUUAACCUCGGAAUUGCAUUUGAAAACUGGCAAGGCUAGAGUCUUGUAGAGGGGGGUAGAAUUUCAGGUGUAGCGGUGAAAUGCGUAGAGAUCUGAAGGAAUACC